UCGGUGACACGUUGGAGGUCCGUAAAAUGUACUUUGAUUACAUUUAGACCUGUGAAAGAUCCACUGCUGGUAUUUGGGUUUGACUGUCUUCGGUGCUGACAGGAAAGCAGACUUCAGGAACGGGGACCCUCAACUAGCCUCCCCAAGCCUGACUUUUGAGACAGAGUCCUAGAUCUUGAACAAAAUCUAAGUGUGAGUGUGAAAUGAAGGUGCUUUCAUUACUUGCCCAUUGCCUGUAGUAUCCUAGGGGCAUUCUUGCACACCGAGAGCAGAUUCUCCAAUGUGUAUGUAACCAAAUGUCCAAUUUGGUCCCGUUGUUUCCUCCUCGGAGACCUACGUUCAACGUCAGGUGGUAGGGACAUUAUGCAAUGUGUGAAAUGCUUCGGGAAUUUGUUGUGAUUAACGUAGCUCAUUUUUCUUUUUAGCGGUUUUGGAACUUACUGUGUUACCGAUCACGAAGUCUAGUAUAACAGCCCAGCCAUUGUAAUGUGCAUUUCGCGGUCUAUUAAGUAGAACACGAAACCCAUUUGAAUGAUUUGUUACCCAUCGUCUUGCGUGGUAUGUCGGUGUCAGCCAUUGGUAACAAAGUGAGAACUCCACCACCCAUUCCAAAGGUUUGUUACCCGCAAUUGUGUAUGAGUGGACGGUUUCAUUAGUGAAGAGCGACAUGGGAGUUCUGAGACACCCCUUCUCGCCACUGAGUGGUGAUACCUCUUAACAUAAUGUUUAAGAAUUCCCCUGUGCUGGUUGAUGAAGGCGGGAUGCACCAUGGUUCGUGCUGAGGGGACAGUCAGCCAGCCUCUAAAGCCGCAGUCUCACCUUGUGGGUUGAUUCAUGCAGUUCCUGUCUUAACAUUCUCUUUCACUCUUUUGGCCUACUUCACACAGGCUGCAUGAUUGGGUCCUCUGGCCCCACCGACCACUUUCAGAAAUUGCUCUGGAUGAGGGAAAGAGGAAGUUUGCCCCAUCCACUCGUGUUGUGAGUUUCCAAGUGACCUAAUUUUCCUGCAGCGGUCCCAAGCUGACCUUCCACAGGUAAGUCUCUUUGUAGAUUUGUACAAUCAUCACCUCCCUCAGGAUCUGUGAUGGGAACGUCCAGUUCCGGUCAGCCGGUGGGCCCGUAAUGAGAGGAGAGGACCCUGAACCGACAGUCAAGACCAGCCAUACGGGCAGAAGCAGGAUGGACUGGAUGGGAUGGUCAGACACAAACUUCAGGAACUCCGAGAUUGUGGGAGCACUGCUCAGGUGCAUUUCUUCAGGUCUGAGUAUGUUGCCGAGACCGUGUCACCCAUCGUGUUUCGUUCACAAUAAGUUUCCAGUAUGUGAGUCUGAAAGACCCUCGGCCCUUUCUUCCUGUCAUCUCGGAGCCUCAGCUUCCACAUCUGCAAAAUGGAAAUGACACCUUGCUCUUGCUCUCAGGCGUGGUGUGAAAAUCAAGCGUGAUCGUCUUUAUGAAGUGCUCAGCACACAGGAGGGCCAGCAACUAUUCUCAGAGGGCCUUGGGCAGCUCUUUGGAAAUGGACCUCUUUAACUCUGCUGUGAUGCCAGGAGGUAGCCCAGCAUCCCAGACCCUGCCGUUCUCUGAGCUGCAUUCUUUCCUGGCUGCCUUGGACGUCUGACAUGGAAGCUGAUGUCACUCAGCGACACGUUGGGGCUGGAGGGUGCUUGGCAACUGGCAGUGCCCAAAGGUCUCCUCUCUUUCCUUCUCUGUAUAAAGUUACUUCUUUUCUGGGCAGGGGUUAAUUUGGUGAAAAUCCGGCGAAGACUUUGACGGUUGGGUGUGAGAGUGUUAAGCAUAAAGACGAAUGGCUCUAAGGUGCAUUCAAAGACCCUCGUGACCUCUAGAGUCAGACACACCUCCGGUUCCUCUGUUGCUUUGUUCGCACCAGUUUUAUCCAGGAGGUGGCAUCGCAGAGCCUGAUGUGCACUCCCCAAAGUCCAAAGGAUCCACAUUUCUUUGUGGUUAGACACUAACGUAUGUAGCCUUUCCGCAGCAUGUUGACAUUUCAGAGACUUUUCAUUUAUCCCUGUACUUGGUUCAGUUACUUUCAAGCCGUGGGAGAUGGGGGUCAUUACGACUUCCUACCCAGUGAAAACCCGAGACCUGAGGUACUUAGAAAACCCUGUGCCCCAACACAUGUUCCUUCGCCAGGCGGUAGGUACAAAAGUGAACAAGAAUGGCUUGUUUGCUUGUCAAAAGCAGUUGUACAACUUAAUAACCGUGAUGCCUCCUCCUUCUUCCACACACACUCGUGCCCGCCCACUGCCCAUCAAAGUCAUGUUGGGUCAUUUCAUUGGGGGGAGGGAUGGGGAAGACGUAGAUGAAUGUUUUAUGGGUAAGUCUUCUGAGUACUGGCACUUAACAAAAUAAGUCCCAAGGUUGACGCUUCCAAAAGGGGGACUGUUUAAUUGGAGGCAUCUCAAACUCAGGACCCUGAGGGAAAGACAAGGUGACCCUCCCAAUUUAAGGUGGGGUCCGGCUUGGUGGCUCUUGCCCAGGAGUCCACUCUGGAGCCUGCCACAUCAGUUGCGUUAUGAGGCCUGUACUCAAUGAAUGUGUACUUCCCAGCGGGGAUGUUAAUGAGUUAUGAAUUCUUGGUGUGAAGUAUUUCAUGUCAAACCCUGUUAGCCUGAAGUGGAUUUUCAUUCCUCUUAUGUAUGUCGGUGACAGAAAGGGAAUGGAUAUCGAACACCUGAAGGUAAGGCCUUUGCACUUGUGCUGCCGAAGGAGCACGAGGUAAGGCCUUUGAAAUGGAGUGGGUUCGUUGUUACACUGGUUCCCUGUCAUAGGCGCACGUUUCCACGGAUGAGGAUUAUUUCAUUGGAUACAUGUACCACAUUUCCUUUAUCCAUUUAUACUGUUGAUGGAUGCUCACAAGUCUCUCGUGUCUUACAUGGUGAGACUAAUACUGUAGUGAGGAUAUGGGAUGAGUAUGGGUCUUUGACAUAGUGGCUUCCUGUCGUUUACAUAAACGCCCACAUACGGGAUUGAUACAUCAUAUAGGAGCUCAAUUCUUAAUUUUUUGAGAGGCCAUGCUACUGUUCUCCGUAGUGCUACCCAAUGUGGGGUUGUCAGGUUGUCAGACGCCCUUUACAAAGAAGCUGAAAGAGUACGUCUACCAUGCAGAGCAAUGGCCUCCUAGGAAUCACUGGGAAUCCUCAUGUUGUGUACUGGAAUGUGGUGGGAAUUGUAUCCACGUGUUUCCAUCAAAACUUCGUGCACUCUUCUGGUGAUCAUACCUUGCCCGUGGCAAGAAGACGAGUGGCGUGUGGGUGCUGUCAAUGAACAUUGCAUGAAGCAGGGGACGUUGAGAUUCUCACGGACAUGAGCUGAUGAGCUGGAUGUCCGGGAGUCUCCUGGGUCAGGUGUCCAGGGUGGAGGAUUCAUCCUUGGGCCUUUUUUUCUAUACGCCAUUUCAGGCCAUUCAUUUCUCGCGAUUAGUGAAACCUAGGGUCCAGAAGGGAUAUACGAGUAAAUUCUCGGAGUGUAAGGAAACUUGCAAGGGGGUGGGUAGAGUGUCCUAGUGUGAAUGUGUGGUACGCAUUGUGGGUUCAGGGGCGAUGGCAGCAUCUGGCGACUGGGCAGAUAUUAGUUCCAGGGAAGAAAUGGGUCAUGUCUGGUUCUCAGGCUUCCAAUACAAAGAAGCUAAAAAAGUUUGUCUACCGUACAGAGCAAUGGCAUCCUAGGAAUCAUUAGGGAUCCUCAUGUUGUGGAUGGGAAUGUGGUUGGAAUCGUAUCCAAGCGUUUCCAUCUAAGCUUUCUGCACUCUUCUGCUGACCAUACUCUGCACAUGGCGGGAAGAGGAGCGGCGUGUGGGUGCUGUCAAUGAACCUUCCAUGAGGCAGGGGACGUUUAGAUUCUCACGGACAUGAGCUGAUGAGCUGGAUGUCCGGGAGCCUCCUGGGUCAGGUGUCCAGAGUGGAGGAUUCAUCCUUGGGUCUUUGUUUCUAUACGCCAUUUUGGGCCAUUCAUUUCCCCCCAUUAGUGAAACCUAGGGUCCAGAAGGGAUAUAUGUGUAAACUCUGGGAGUGUAAAGAGACUUGCAAGGGGGUGGGUAGUGUGUGUUAGUGUGAAAGUGUGGUAGGCAUUGUGGGUUCAGGGGCGAUGGCAGCAUCUGGCGACUGGGCAGAUAUUAGUUCCCUGGGAAGAAAUGGGUCAUGUCUGGUUCUCAGGCUUCCAAUACAAAGAAGCUAAAAAAGUUUGUCUACCGUACAGAGCAAUGGCAUCCUAGGAAUCAUUAGGGAUCCUCAUUUUGUGGAUGGC